CCGUGAUGGUCUCUUUUCGGCGGAGUUCGGGAAGUGAACACGGUGUUGGAGUUAUGCUUGACGUAGGUUGUUCUAGGAUCACUUCUUGAUCAUAGUUUCUCGAACGUGCUUUGCCUUCUCUUCUCGCUCUCAUUUGCGUAAGGUAGCCACCAUAUAUGCUAGUCGCUUGCUGCAGCUCCACCUCAUACCUUUUUACCCUACCUAUAAGCUUAAAUAGUCUUGAUCGCGAGGGUGUGAGAUUGCUGAGUCCCCGUGACUCAUAGAUACUUCCAGAACCAGCUUGCAGGUGCCGAUGAUACCGUGCAGAUGACGCAACCAAGCUCAAGGAGGAGCUCGAUGAAGACCUUGUCCUUUGUGUUGUUUCGUUCUAGUAGAUCAGUAGUGGAGCCCAGUUGGGACGAUGGGGGAUAUGUGUAGCUUUUUGGGUAGUCUUCUUUCAUUUUGGUUCCGUAGUCGGACCUUGUUUGUAUCUGGAUGUUGUAAUGCUCUAUUCAUGUAUUGUUUGAAGUGGCGAUUGUAAGCCAACCAUGUAUUUGUUUCCCUUAUGUAUUACAUGGGUUGUGUGAAGAUUAC
rnacentral:rRNA from 1 species